ensembl:lncRNA
UAUCACAAUGUUUAUUGAUAGAUACAAGUAUAUAAAAUCAGGGCAUGAACAUGACUUGAUAAAUUAAGUAGACUUAAUUUCAAUACUAUAAUAAGAGGGACCAAUUCAAAUUCUCACCAUUUGUUUCACACCCACAAAAACCACUUCAAGGGCAUUAAUGAUCUCUCAAACUGAUCAGUUUUGUGCAAGUAAACCAUGUUUCUUUUAAAAAGACUUGUGCACUUGCCCAGGCUCAAGGAUAUUAAAAUCUAGCACAUAAAGCCCAUUACUAGAGGUAGAAAUACAGGCAAUAUACUAUUACGGCAACAACCAUCAAUUACAGUUAAGAAUUUUUCUGUAACAACCAAAUGGAUAAUCAAAUAGUGCAACAACUCAAGUAUUACUGAGCAAAGUGCAUCUCUACAGUAUUCAGUGUUGCUAUUCAGUUUUCUAACUUAAAACAGCCUAUGGUAACUGGCAGCAAAGAAGGUCCUUGCAAUAGACUGCCUCUGCUUGAGAACUUAGGAUGUAACUAUUGCAUGCUGCUAAUAUUCUAUCUAAACAUUAAGGAUACUCCUAAAGUAUUUGAUGGUAGACUAUGAUUAAGACAUCACACUACAAAAACCUUAUGCAGAAGGAAACCUUACUGACGUGCUUCUGCUUUAAAUAUUGUGAAAAACGUUACAGCGGAAUGAAUUUUCGCAGUGGUUAGGUCAAAUGCAGUUACAUCAUAGCAACAGUAUGUUUUGCACAAUUUAAGGCUUUGGCUGGUUCUUUAGUCAGCUUCUUCCUCUGAUUCUUCUUCUUCAGCAGUUUCUAGCCAGGUUAGCCACUGAUUCACCUGGAACAAAGCCUUGCCUUUUCCUGGAAACUCUUGAGUUAUGUCUUCCUUCCAAGCUAAGAAAGCUUCCUCUUCAAUAAUUUCCAUGUCAUAGAAAUGAACAAAAAAUCGAAGUAACAUGCCUUUUGGGAAGCUGCUGUUGUAACAGUGCACCUGCAAAGCAUACAGGGCACUGACCUGUAGAUCCACAUGAUCAUGAAGAAACUUCUGCAUCACUGGCUUAAAAGAGAGCAGCAGCUGUUUUUCCUGCUCUAACUGUUCUUUGGAAGGAGCAGAGGAAGAAUCUGUUUCAUCGCUGGGUGGGCUAACUUCACUAGAAAUGUACUGUAAGAAGCUGGUCAUUAAGAUGUUCACAAAUCCUUUAUCUACAUGAAGUUUGGGAGAGAUGUUAUCUUUAAUCCAUUUAUAUAUAGUUUGAGGGGAUGGAUCCAGCUUAAUUUGCUUCAAUAGUUCCUUCUCCAAUUUAAGGAGUGGGAAUAAGAAACUCAGUCCCUUUCCUUCCAAAAUCUCCAACAUUCGAUCCUUAUUCUGAUCAAUUUCUGGCAGCAUUUUCUGCAUAUUGACCUUGCUUUGUUGAAAAAGUUCGGCUAACCAUUCUUGGUCUUGUAAUUUAGCUAAUUGUUGAAGACAAAGUAAGAAGAGAGGGAAGUGGGUGCCACUCUCCAGUGGUUGAGCUAGUUCUGAAAUGCUCACCAACUCUGAAAUUAUAGCACGAGCCGCAAACUGUGCCAAGUAAGAUUUCACCAAGGGGAUGUCAACCUCCAGUUUGGGGCACUGCUCCAAUACAUUCAGGAAAGCCUGCAUAAAGUUGUCACUUGUGGCUAUCCCUUCCUGUUUGAGUAAACUGAUCAAAGAGCUUGCUUUUUCUUUAUCUUCAUCACUUCUAUCAAGUGACAGGAUGAUCACUUUGCUUAACAUCUCAGGAAGAAAGUGUUUUGGAGCUCUCAUUUCUCUCACACCACUAACAGCGUGUCGUUGGCAUUUCCACUGUUCAGAUACUCAGUUACAACAGCUUCGGUCAGUUUAAGUAGUUCUUCCUUUGAUGGUGGUGGCUUUUUGCUAGUCUUGGCAGGCUUUUCCUGAAUAAGUGGUGGAUUAGUUUUGAGACCAAGUUGAGGUGUCUGUCCCAGAGGUGGUGUUUGAGUGCGUGGUGGCUGUGCACUGGGAGGAAUCAUAGUUAUCUGGGGCUGAAGCUUUGGCACCUGAUUUUUAUUCAUUAGAAACGACUGAGCAGGCCUCAAACUAAUCUCAUCUGCAUUAAGCUGUCCUUUCUUAGAAAACCGAGGUGGCAUAUCCUUCGACUGUCCUUGCAGCUGGGAUAAGAGUCCCUGACUCUGGUUAUGGUAGAGCUGGCUUAGCCCCUGGCUUUUCAUAAACUUGCCCCCCAUCUCUCCAAACUGCGAUUGCGUGGGAGGCAUGAUGUGUCCCCCAUGGCCAUUGAAGAGCUGAUUUGAACGAUGACGUCCCAUUGUGGGUGAAAAUCUAUCCUGGAUAACUCCUGGACCAGUACCAAUUCCACUACCUGGCAUUUGUCCAAACAUAUCAGUGAGUCCCCCAAGUGGGUCCCUAUCCAUUUUCAUCCUUGGCGGCAUGAACGGUCCCUCCAGGAAGAAGUCAUUCCUCCCUUGAGCCAUAGGAGCAGGAAUAAACACUCCUAGAUCUUUUACUGCAUCUUGACGGAUUUGAUUGAUCGUCUUUGGUCCAUUGUCAAGAAAAGCCUUGAGAGGAACCCAAUGGUGCUCUCGCAACUCUACGGUAUCCUGCAGUAGGAAACGAAUCCUGGCUGGCAAUUCCUUACUUAACAUUAAGGAACACAUUCUGGCAAAGUACUGAUCCAUUAAGGACUUGGCUCCUUCAUGGUCUAAUCGGGGUCCCACUGUCCUCAUUAUCUGACAGAGGCACUCCAAAUCCUCUCCCAUAUCUUUGAGUUGGACUCUCUUCUUCUUUUCCAAAAGUGUUUUGAUGCACUUAUGAAGGAUAGAUUCAUGAAUAAGAUCAAGCUUGCCAAGUUCUCCAAUGAAUUUGAUGUUCCCCAACAUCUUGAUCUUAGCAAUGGCUCUCUGUUCCUCCUCCUCAGGGAGGAGGGGAUUUUCACGCUUAUCAUAGACAUCAACAUUUCUGGUUCGGUUUUCAAAUUCAUCUUGCAAUUUGGAAAUCAAGAGGCGUCUGAAUGUUGUGCUUUGCUCUUCCUGUACCUGGUUGACACCCUCUGCUGCUGGGCCAUCAAAGUUUGGUGCAUCUUCUGCCAAUCGCAGACAUAGCUGAGCAUACAGUGAGCUAUACUUUGGCUCUUCUAGGGCUUUGUCCACAAUCAGCAGUAUGACCCCUUUAAGGAUGAGUUUAGACUCUACACCCACAUUGAGGAGCUCAAGGCAUAGCUUGUCAAACUUUUCAGGAGUAAGCUUAUUUAGUAUGCCUCUUACUUUCCUGAAGAUUGCAUCAUGUCGUUCUUUUUCAUUUGCGGAGUUGUUUGCUGCGGAGUUGUCAUCUCGUCUAGUGCUUCGUGCAGGAAUCCAUUUCUGAGCGUUUUGCCCUGGGGUUUUCCCCAGGAACUCGCUGUUGCCAGCAGUCUUGGGAUAGUGCUGAGGUGCACCCCUACUUCCUCCUCCGCCGAAGAAGCACUGAAACGAGAAGCACCCCCUUCUGCAAUCGCACUCUCCACUUUGGCGGCUUGACAACGAAGAAUCUUCAAAAGAAUAAUAUUAAUGGAUGGGGUGGGGAGGGGAGGGGAUGGUAGAAAUGAAAAGCCUUCACCGAGAACUCAGCAGCUGCUACCGCAGCUGCCUUCUCUGGAUCCGGUCGUCGGGGACGGGGAAGGGAGGGGGAAGGGGAACUGAAAACAAAAAAGGGGGAGGGAAGGGGGAGGAAGGAGACGGGGAUGGCUUGAAACUCAGCUCAGAGGAGUAGCUGCUGCAGCCACCACCUGGUACCCGCCGCCACCUCCAUAGAGCUCCGGCUCGCUGCU